rnacentral:rRNA from 1 species
AGAGUUUGAUCCUGGCUCAGAACGAACGCUGGCGGCGUGGUUUAGGCAUGCAAGUCGAGCGAGAAAGUUCCCUUCGGGGAGCGAGUACAGCGGCGAACGGGUGAGUAAUACAUAGGGAACCUACCCCCCGGAUUGGGAUAAUUUCUGGAAACGGAUUGUAAUACCAAACGGUCCUCGAAGAGCGCCUGUUCUUCUUGGUAAAUGGUUGCCUCGGCUUCUGCCGGGGGAGGGCCCUAUGCCCUAUUAGUUUGUUGGUGGGGUAAUGGCCUACCAAGACAAUGAUGGGUAGCCGGACUGAGAGGUUGGCCGGUCACACUGGGACUGAGACACUGCCCAGACUCCUACGGGAGGCUGCAGUCGAGAAUCUUCCGCAAUGGACGAAAGUCUGACGGGGCGACGCCGCGUGAAAGAUGAAGGCCUUCGGGUUGUAAAUUUCUGUCAGAGGGAAAGAAGGUCGGGAGUUAACAGCUCCUUGACUUGACGCUACCCUUAGAGGAAGCCCUGGCUAACUCCGUGCCAGCAGCCGCGGUAAUACGGAGAGGGCAAGCGUUGUUCGGAAUCACUGGGCAUAAAGGGCACGUAGGCGGGAUGGUAAGUCGGUUGUGAAAGCCCGGGGCUCAACCCCGGAACGGCUUCCGAAACUACCAACCUUGAGGAUGAGAGGGGAGAGUGGAACUUCUGGUGGAGCGGUGAAAUGCGUAGAUAUCAGAAGGAACACCGGUGGCGAAAGCGACUCUCUGGCUCAUUUCUGACGCUGAGGUGCGAAAGCUAGGGUAGCGAACGGGAUUAGAUACCCCGGUAGUCCUAGCCGUAAACGAUGGGAACUAGGUAGGGGGACGUCUAUGCGUUUCCCUGCUGGAGCUAAUGUUUUAAGUUCCCCGCCUGGGGAGUAUGGUCGCAAGGCUAAAACUCAAAGGAAUUGACGGGGGCUCACACAAGCGGUGGAGCAUGUGGUUUAAUUCGAAGCAACGCGCAGAACCUUACCUGGGUUUGACCGCUAGUUGUAGGCUCCUGAAAAGGAGCCGAACUGCGUAAGCAGAAGGUUAGUACAGGUGCUGCAUGGCUGUCGUCAGCUCGUGUCGUGAGAUGUCGGGUUAAGUCCCUUAACGAGCGAAACCCCUACUGUCUAGUUGCCAACGGGUAAUGCCGGGGACUCUAGCAGGACCGCUGUGGUUAACACGGAGGAAGGUGGGGAUGACGUCAAGUCCUCAUGGCCCUUAUACCCAGGGCUACACACGUGCUACAAUGGCAGGUACAAAGGGCCGCAAUACGGUAACGUGGAGCUAAUCCCAUAAAGCCUGUCUCAGUACGGAUUGAGGGCUGAAAUUCGCCCUCAUGAAGUUGGAAUCGCUAGUAAUCGCGGAUCAGCAACGCCGCGGUGAAUAUGUUCCUGAGCCUUGUACACACCGCCCGUCAAGCCACGGGAGCUGGUAGUGCCCGAAGUCGCUGGCCCAACUCUUCGGAGAGGGAGGCGCCGACGGUAAGACCGGUGACUGGGACUAAGUCGUAACAAGGUAACC